rnacentral:rRNA from 1 species
GAACUUCCGUUAUUGAUUAUGACGUACUUGUACUGAUUGAGAUUUUAACACGAAGUGAGUGGCGAACGGGUGAGUAACACGUGGGUAACCUGCCCAGAAGUAGGGGAUAACACCUGGAAACAGAUGCUAAUACCGUAUAACAGAGAAAACCGCAUGGUUUUCUUUUAAAAGAUGGCUCUGCUAUCACUUCUGGAUGGACCCGCGGCGUAUUAGCUAGUUGGUGAGGUAAAGGCUCACCAAGGCAGUGAUACGUAGCCGACCUGAGAGGGUAAUCGGCCACAUUGGGACUGAGACACGGCCCAGACUCCUACGGGAGGCAGCAGUAGGGAAUCUUCCACAAUGGACGCAAGUCUGAUGGAGCAACGCCGCGUGAGUGAAGAAGGGUUUCGGCUCGUAAAGCUCUGUUGUUAAAGAAGAACGUGGGUAAGAGUAACUGUUUACCCAGUGACGGUAUUUAACCAGAAAGCCACGGCUAACUACGUGCCAGCAGCCGCGGUAAUACGUAGGUGGCAAGCGUUAUCCGGAUUUAUUGGGCGUAAAGCGAGCGCAGGCGGUCUUUUAAGUCUAAUGUGAAAGCCUUCGGCUCAACCGAAGAAGUGCAUUGGAAACUGGGAGACUUGAGUGCAGAAGAGGACAGUGGAACUCCAUGUGUAGCGGUGAAAUGCGUAGAUAUAUGGAAGAACACCAGUGGCGAAGGCGGCUGUCUGGUCUGCAACUGACGCUGAGGCUCGAAAGCAUGGGUAGCGAACAGGAUUAGAUACCCUGGUAGUCCAUGCCGUAAACGAUGAUUACUAAGUGUUGGAGGGUUUCCGCCCUUCAGUGCUGCAGCUAACGCAUUAAGUAAUCCGCCUGGGGAGUACGACCGCAAGGUUGAAACUCAAAAGAAUUGACGGGGGCCCGCACAAGCGGUGGAGCAUGUGGUUUAAUUCGAAGCUACGCGAAGAACCUUACCAGGUCUUGACAUCUUCUGACAGUCUAAGAGAUUAGAGGUUCCCUUCGGGGACAGAAUGACAGGUGGUGCAUGGUUGUCGUCAGCUCGUGUCGUGAGAUGUUGGGUUAAGUCCCGCAACGAGCGCAACCCUUAUUACUAGUUGCCAGCAUUAAGUUGGGCACUCUAGUGAGACUGCCGGUGACAAACCGGAGGAAGGUGGGGACGACGUCAAAUCAUCAUGCCCCUUAUGACCUGGGCUACACACGUGCUACAAUGGAUGGUACAACGAGUCGCGAGACCGCGAGGUUAAGCUAAUCUCUUAAAACCAUUCUCAGUUCGGACUGUAGGCUGCAACUCGCCUACACGAAGUCGGAAUCGCUAGUAAUCGCGGAUCAGCAUGCCGCGGUGAAUACGUUCCCGGGCCUUGUACACACCGCCCGUCACACCAUGAGAGUUUGUAAC